rnacentral:rRNA from 1 species
GACGAACGCUGGCGGCGUGCUUAAUACAUGCAAGUCGAACGGAAAGGCCCUGCUUUUGUGGGGUUCUCGAGUGGCGAACGGGUGAGUAACACGUGAGUAACCUGCCCCUGUCUUUGGGAUAUCUUUACGGAAAUGGGGCUCAUAUCCGAUAGGAGCUCUUGCUGCAUGGGGGGGGAAGGAAAGAUUCGGCGGUUGUGGAGUGACUCGCAGCUUAUCGGCUUGUUUGUGGGGUUGUUGCUUACCCAGGCUUUGACGGGUAGCCGGCCUGAGGGGGUGACCGGCCAUAUAGGGACUGAGAGACGGCCCAGACUCCUACGGGAGGCAGCGGUCGAGAAUAUGGCGGAGUGAGCGGACGCCUGAUGUAGCAGCGCCGCGAGCGUGAUGACCGCUUAUGGGGUAUAAACCGCUUUGGACUGUGAUGAAGCGUGAGUGACGGUAACGGAUAAGGAAGCACCGGCUAACUACGUG